rnacentral:rRNA from 1 species
ACGGGUGAGUAAUACAUCGGAACAUGUCCUGUAGUGGGGGAUAGCCCGGCGAAAGCCGGAUUAAUACCGCAUACGAUCUANGGAUGAAAGCGGGGGACCUUCGGGCCUCGCGCUAUAGGGUUGGCCGAUGGCUGAUUAGCUAGUUGGUGGGGUAAAGGCCNNUACCAAGGCGACGAUCAGUAGCUGGUCUGAGAGGACGACCAGCCACACUGGGACUGAGACANNCGGCCCAGACUCCUACGGGAGGCAGCAGUGGGGAAUUUUGGACAAUGGGCGAAAGCCUGAUCCAGCAAUGCCGCGUGUGUGAAGAAGGCCUUCGGGUUGUAAAGCACUUUUGUCCGGAAAGAAAUCCUUGGCUCUAAUACAGUCGGGGGAUGACGGUACCGGAAGAAUAAGCACCGGCUAACUACGUGCCAGCAGCCGCGGUAUACGUAGGGUGCAAGCGUUAAUCGGAAUUACUGGGCGUAAAGCGUGCGCAGGCGGUUNUGCUAAGACCGNAUGUGAAAUCCCNCGGGCUCAACCUGGGAACUGCAUUGGUGACUGGCAGGCUAGAGUAUGGCAGAGGGGGGUAGAAUUCCACGUGUAGCAGUGAAAUGCGUAGAGAUGUGGAGGAAUACCNGAUGGCGAAGGCAGCCCCCUGGGCCAAUACUGACGCUCAUGCACGAAAGCGUGGGGAGCAAACAGGAUUAGAUACCCUGGUAGUCCACGCCCUAAACGAUGUCAACUAGUUGUUGGGGAUUCAUUUCCUUAGUAACGUAGCUAACGCGUGAAGUUGACCGCCUGGGGAGUACGGUCGCAAGAUUAAAACUCAAAGGAAUUGACGGGGACCCGCACAAGCGGUGGAUGAUGUGGAUUAAUUCGAUGCAACGCGAAAAACCUUACCUACCCUUGACAUGGUCGGAAUCCUGAAGAGAUUCGGGAGUGCUCGAAAGAGAACCGGCGCACAGGUGCUGCAUGGCUGUCGUCAGCUCGUGUCGUGAGAUGUUGGGUUAAGUCCCGCAACGAGCGCAACCCUUGUCCUUAGUUGCUACGCAAGAGCACUCUAAGGAGACUGCCGGUGACAAACCGGAGGAAGGUGGGGAUGACGUCAAGUCCUCAUGGCCCUUAUGGGUAGGGCUUCACACGUCAUACAAUGGUCGGAACAGAGGGUUGCCAACCCGCGAGGGGGAGCUAAUCCCAGAAAACCGAUCGUAGUCCGGAUUGCACUCUGCAACUCGAGUGCAUGAAGCUGGAAUCGC